AUUGAACGCUGGCGGUAUGCUUAACACAUGCAAGUCGAACGGUAACAGGUCUUCGGAUGCUGACGAGUGGCGGACGGGUGAGUAAUGCAUAGGAAUCUGCCUAGUAGUGGGGGGAUAACGUGGGGAAACUCACGCUAAUACCGCAUACGCCCUACGGGGGAAAGCGGGGGAUCGUAAGACCUCGCGCUAUUAGAUGAGCCUAUGUCAGAUUAGCUAGUUGGUGGGGUAAUGGCCUACCAAGGCGACGAUCUGUAGCUGGUCUGAGAGGAUGAUCAGCCACACUGGAACUGAGACACGGUCCAGACUCCUACGGGAGGCUG
rnacentral:rRNA from 1 species